CUGGCUUAUUUCUACACCACUAACGUAACGUCGUCCAGGUCCAUCCCUGUUGUAGCAUGUGACAGGAUUUCUUUCCCUUUUAAGGCUCAGUAAGAUUCUAGCCUAUGUAUACUCCAUAUUUUGUUUCUCCUCUCAUCCAUUGAGGAAUGGGUUCCUUCCGCCUCGCGGCUAUUGGGAAUAGGGCUGUGAUGAACAUGGGUGUGCAAUAUCAGUGUGAGACCCUGGUUUCAAUUCUUUUGUAUCUUUUCCCAGAAAUAGAAUCGCUGGGUCAUGCGGUGGUUCUGGUUUUAAGUUUUUGAGGAACCUCCAUGCUAUUUCCCACAGAAAACGUGCCAUGUCACAAUCCUGCCAGAGGUCGCGGGGUCCUGGCAGUGUUCAUACCAGAUUAAGGCUUCAUUCUCUGGUGAAAACAUCUUUCAGAUUAAGAUACUGGUUUUUGAACCAAAGGUACGUUUUUGGGCUUCUGGAACAUUUGAUUUAAUUUUCCUGAAAUUGGAAUGUUUGGAUGGAUGGACCAGUGUUCUCCUUCUGAUUCCAUUCAUGCAGGUAGCCUGGAGAUCACUUUUUAACUCACUCAUGACAACUCAGGGAGAGGAGGGCACCCUGGCCUCAUCCUGUUCUCACCAUGGAGUUGCAUUACGGUAGACUGAUCCAGGACUAAACCUGACCUUGGGGUAUUUGUGAAGCUGGUAAGGAGAUUAGCAAACAGAACCCUUAAGAACAAUUAAUCCAUUUCUACACAGUUGCCUGGCUGCUGCUCUACAAAGACAAGUCUAAAACUGGAUUUCUUGGUCAUUUUAGCCCUGCACUGACAUGUGUGGCCAAUCGAAAGGCUGAAGAUGAAGAAGUACGUGGGAAAGCAGGUGAUUACCACCCCUCAAAUACUGUGUGACACUUUAGUCAACCACGGCAUGGCAGCAGCCGGGUAAUCCCACCAUAAUUGGUUGAUCUUGACUAAUCCUGCCUCUGGAUCAUGUUUACUUGGCAGGUCAUUUCAGUCAUUAAAUUAGCAUCUUCAAGAUUUUGCUCCCCCGCUAAAUGGACCCUUUGGAAUACCAGCUGCCCUGUGAGGCUUGUUCAAGAAGCAAGGUAUCCGCUCUCC
rnacentral:lncRNA from 1 species